CCUACGGGUGGCAGCAGUGAGGAAUAUUGGUCAAUGGACGCAAGUCUGAACCAGCCAUGCCGCGUGAAGGAAGACGGCCCUAUGAGUUGUAAACUUCUUUUGUACGAGGGUAAACGCAGAUACGCGUAUCUGUUUGAAAGUAUCGUACGAAUAAGGAUCGGCUAACUCCGUGCCAGCAGCCGCGGUAAUACGGAGGAUUCAAGCGUUAUCCGGAUUUAUUGGGUUUAAAGGGUGCGUAGGCGGUCGGAUAAGUUAGUUGUGAAAUCCCGAGGCUCAACUUCGGAAUUGCAUCUGAUACUGGUCGUCUAGAGAGUAGUUGAGGUAGGCGGAAUGUGUGGUGUAGCGGUGAAAUGCUUAGAGAUCAUACAGAACACCGAUUGCGAAGGCAGCUUACCAAGCUACUUCUGACGUUGAGGCACGAAAGCGUGGGGAGCAAACAGGAUUAGAUACCCGGGUAGUC
rnacentral:rRNA from 1 species